UACGUAGGUGGCAAGCGUUGUCCGGAAUUACUGGGCGUAAAGCGCACGUAGGCGGAUAUUUAAGUCAGGGGUGAAAUCCCAGAGCUCAACUCUGGAACUGCCUUUGAUACUGGGUAUCUUGAGUAUGGAAGAGGUGAGUGGAAUUCCGAGUGUAGAGGUGAAAUUCGUAGAUAUUCGGAGGAACACCAGUGGCGAAGGCGGCUCACUGGUCCAUUACUGACGCUGAGGUGCGAAAGCGUGGGGAGCAAACAGG
rnacentral:rRNA from 1 species